UACGUAGGUGGCAAGCGUUGUCCGGAUUUACUGGGUGUAAAGGGCGUGUAGCCGGGCUUACAAGUCAGAUGUGAAAUCCGGGGGCUCAACCCCCGAACUGCAUUUGAAACUGUAGGUCUUGAGUAUCGGAGAGGCAGGCGGAAUUCCUAGUGUAGCGGUGAAAUGCGUAGUUAUUAGGAGGAACACCAGUGGCGAAGGCGGCCUGCUGGACGACAACUGACGGUGAGGCGCGAAAGCGUGGGGAGCAAACAGG
rnacentral:rRNA from 1 species